ensembl:snRNA U2 U2 spliceosomal RNA
AUUGCUUAUCAGCCUUUGGGCCAAGAUCAAAUGUAGCGGCUGCUCGUGUCAGUUCACAGCUGAUAAGUCCUCUGUCGAAGGGCUGUAUAUGACGGAGUUUUGGAGCAGGGAGAAGGAUAGGAGCCUACUCAGCCCACUCCAUACAUUGACCUGGUAUUGUAGUACCUCCAGGAACUGCAUUCUCUCU